ensembl:lncRNA
AAACAUUUAUGAUUAUUUUUGUUUAUUAGAAUUUUUUAACUCACUUGAGUACUUGUUUCAGUGGGACAGUCAAUAAACUGUUUUAACUUUUACCAGUCAGAAUACCCCUGUUGGAAAACCAAGGCAAACCAGAAUCACUUGAAUUUCACUGACUAUGAUAAUGUUGCUGCACAUUAUGUUCCCCACAGGCAAGAAGCUUUUCCAAAGAAUGUGGGGUCUGACUAUAAGCAAUUGGCCUAGCUGCAGCCUGAUGGUGUUUAUGUGGAAAACCGCAUCUCUGUUGGUAUCUACUAAUAAUCUGCACAGUGACAAAGCUACUAGUCAACUGGCUGUCAACAGGCUGCAGCUGGUAGCUGUGGAAGAUUUUAAUUUUAUUUUAAAUCACGACUGUGGGAGUACUUAGAAGAUUGUGUUGUUAUUAAAAACUAACAGAAACUUGAAAUUAUCAGGAAAAUAGGUUUCAAAAUGCUUAGACUUUUUUCUUUUUCCUCAUGCUCUUGCGAGAAGGUUUCCCACCAUUGUGGUAUCUGGGACAGAACGGAGUUGUGAACGGCACAUUGUCAGUAUCUGGAGACUAUUUGAAUGCUUUUGGCAACGGCUUGCUUCGAGAUGCAUGAUAUUAUGGGCUCCAGGAAAAUACCAAGGGUCAUCACACUAAGGAAAGGUAGAAUAAAUCAGCAGCCUUUUAGUAAUCCUAUUCUAUG